rnacentral:snRNA from 1 species
AGCUUUGCACAGUGGCAGUAUCAUAACGAAUGAGGUUUAUCUGAGGCACGAUUAUUGUUAAUUGAAAACUUUUCUCAUUAUAUGG